GACGAACGCUGGCGGCGUGCCUAAUACAUGCAAGUAGAACGCACAGUUUAUACCGUAGCUUGCUCCACCAUAGACUGUGAGUUGCGAACGGGUGAGUAACGCGUAGGUAACCUGCCUGGUAGCGGUGGAUAACUAUUGGAAACGAUAGCUAAUACCGCAUAAUCUUCAUUAUUGCAUGAUAAUUAAUUGAAAGGUUCAAUUGCACCACUACCAGCUGGACCUGCGUUGUAUUAGCUAGUAGGUGAGGUAACGGCUCACCUAGGCGACGAUACAUAGCCGAACUGAGAGGGUGAUCGGCCACACUGGGACUGAGACAAGGCCCAGAAUCCUACGGGAGGGAGCAGGAGGGAAGCGUAGGCAAUGGACGAAAGUCUGAACGAGCAACGCCGCGUGAGUGAAGAAGGGUUUCGGAUCGUAAAGCUCUGUUGUAAGAGAAGAAAGGGUGGGAGAGUGGAAAGUUCACACUGUGACGGUAUCUUACCAGAAAGGGACGGCUAACUACGUG
rnacentral:rRNA from 1 species